AUGUGGGUGAGCAGGACAUUGUCCCUCCAAACAAAACCUUCUCUGUCCCAUGGUGCAGGUACUGGUGUGAGCACCCAGGACAUCUGCAGCUCCAGGGCUGGUGGUACUCUCCAGGCCCCAGUCCUGUUCCUUAACACUUGCAGAGCUGAGGAAGGGGAAGUCGUUCUAUUUCAAUGUGCUCUUCAGAAGAUGGUUCCUGCUACCCGAUUUGUCUUCUGCAAGGAUGGGUUGGAGGUGCGCAGCAUGAAAGCCCAAGAGGACAUGGUCAUCUACUCCAUUCAGAUGAACAUCUCUGUGAGAAGCAGUGGGACAUAUGCAUGUUUGUACCAGCAGAGGAGUGGGAAAAGCUGGCUGAGUUCUGCCCUCAGUCCUCCAUGGGACCUGCAUGUCACAGGCAACUUGUCCAGCUCCACAGAGGGGACAGCAACUGCUGAUCCCAAAAUCCUGCCGGACCCUACAGUCAUUACGGUGGCACUGGUGGCUCUCACCCUCCUCCUUUCUGCAGGCACAUACUGGACCAUCAAGAAAGGUGCCUGCAGGAGGAUAUGCCGAAGUGCUGGUAGAGCUGAGGAAUCUUCUGCUGACCACGAUUCUUACUGUAAGUGCCAGUCCCUGUGCACCCUUCCCCUCCAGGCACCAAGGACAAUGCAGAGAUGA
rnacentral:lncRNA from 1 species